ensembl:lncRNA
GCUUAGUGGUGUAAAUACUAAUAGUCAUUGGUGAUUCCGAUGAGCUUCAUGACCUUGAUUUUGUGCGAAGUAUGCUUAGAAGCACAAAUACUCCCAGCCUUUUAUGCUUAAGUGCAGCACAAAGGUCACAUGUUUUGUAAGGAACAGAGUCAGAGAGACACAUUUCUGGAUGAGAGUGAUACAAACGAUCGUAAUAACCCUGCGCAAAGGUUUCCAGGCCGCACUGCCACUCAGCCCAUUCAGCGCUCUUAAAUUAACAGCACUUCUUCAGCGUGCGUUCGUCAGAGCUGCUCCUUGAAGCUUUUGUUCCACCCUUGUUAUUUGUUAAAAAAAAUUAAAUAAAAUAGGAACCAGACAGUGCCAAAGAAAAUUUACCAUGUAAUUAUUUAAGAGAGAUUGUGAGCGGUUUGGAUACUUGUAGUGAAACUGAUGUCUUCAUCUCUGGUACGCAAAUGUGUUUCAGAUGGUAUGUGCCAUGCAGUAACAGGUUUUUUAAAAAUGGUGUUUUAGCAGAGCUGAUGGAAUAGCUGCUUCCUUCUCGGUGGUACGUUUUUAAUUCAGACUCCACCGUAACAAGAAUACGCUAAUUGGGUAGCUGAGCAACUCGACUCAUUAGAUGCAAUGCUUACUGAUUCAAUUUAACCAUUACGGGGUAUCUCAGUACAUGAUUCAGAACUACUUUUCUUUUAAUUCAGCGUUCUGUUCCUCGGAAGGAAAUUAAUUUUGCUUAAGAUUACUUCAAUAAACCUCUGAUAAUAAAGCUAUAAUUAAAGAGGUUACCUGUAAGAGCUUUUUACUGGUAUUUUUACUUGUAAUAUUACAUAUUGCUUAAAUAUGUAUUUGAAUGUAAAAGCC